ACUGCAAAGGGUGGGCCCAGUGAGGACGGGGCAGACCUGUGCUCCCCAGGUCCUCCCGGCCAGGACCACAUGCUCCCUGGGACCACUGAAGGUCUGAGCCCUGCCAGGGCACUGAGGGCUGCCAGCCCUCCCCAGCCCAGGCUUCCCCCCGGGGCCACACACUCACCAGCAUUGCUCAUCUGCAGUCUCCCGGAAUCAGUCACCCAAGACACCGAGGUUCUCAAAUCACAGCACUGCCAGAGGCGCCCUGAAAUCACAGCUGCGCCCGGCUCAGCCCCGCCUGGAGCUGUGCGCCUUUCAUCUGCCCAAGCCGUGGGGCCGCUGGAAGGGGUCUGGCCACAAGAGGAGUGCCAAGCCAGGCGUUACAGCGCCCCUCCCUACCCCCCCCACUGGUCUCCAGAGAGGCCCAGGGAUGUCAAGCUGGUCAGGUGAGGAUGGGGAGGCGCCGGCAGGCUUGGCCCAGUGUAGGGAAGGCGAGAUUCAGGCACUCAGAGCGGAGAUGGCUCCCCAGCCCCCACCCAGCUACCCAGGCCUGGGAGCCAGAUAGCAAUUGCACUUCCCCAGAGGCAAGGUAGCCCCUCCCACCGCAGCGUCACCCAC